rnacentral:rRNA from 1 species
UAUUGAGAGUUUGAUCCUGGCUCAGGAUGAACGCUGGCGGCGUGGCUAAGGCAUGCAAGUCGAACGGACUUUCAGAGCUUGCUUUGAAAGUUAGUGGCAAACGGGAGAGUAACACAUUGGUAACCUACCCCAAAGACGAGAAUAACCCAGGGAAACUUGGACUAAUACUCGAUGUGCUGUACUGACUCAAGUCAGUCCAGUAAAGCUCCGGUGCUUUGGGAGGGGCCUAUGGCUUAUCAGCUAGUUGGUGAGGUAAGAGCUCACCAAGGCAAUGACGAGUAGCGGGAUUGAGAGAUCGACCCGCCUCACUGGGACUGAGACACUGCCCAGACUCCUACGGGAGGCUGCAGUCAAGAAUAUUCCCCAAUGGCCGAAA